CAGCUACAUGGAGCAAGACUCCGAAUGCAUUCCCUUGGGAAGCUGAAGCUGACGCUCUAUCUCUCUCUCUCUCUCUCUCUCUGUGGGCACCAGGGACAGAGUCGUGUCUGCAGCAGAUGUCUCGUGGCUGAGACUAUAAAUAAAGUCAACGAUUCGGGGGAGUGCCGAUGCGCCGGAGAGGUCGGUGACAAGCCUGCCGCUUCUUCUCACCUCUUUAUCUCGGAGGACGAUACCAGGCAAGGCUGCGGAGGCGAAGAACCGCCCGAUGUGAAACUGAACUUGCAUAACAUCAUGUUUUGGCACGUUAAGUGGAACUGGAAAGUAUGACUGGACUACAAGUGCAUUACAUCAGUAAAUCGGUUUGCGGUUUAAUCACUGACCACAGGUCCUAGUCCAUAGUUGAAGCGCCGUUGUGGUUCAAAUGAUGUGUAGCAAGUUCUUUGCAUUACCUGCAUUCAAGAAUUCAGCAGUGCCAUGGUAAAAUGUCUUAAUCCAUUUAGUUCUGGAUUUUGGUGGUACGCCAGUGCUUGCAUAGUUUUCAAAUAUUAUGCAUGUAAUUGUACACUGGGGGUAGCAUGAGGCCCAGCAGGUUGGGACAUAGUGUUUGUGUUUGGAAGGUCAACGGUUCAAAUUCUGCAGUCGACAAAGUGAAUUUCACCACUGGGCCCCUCAGUAAGGCCCUUAACUCCCAGAUACCCCAGGGAUUGGCUGACCCUGCAUCCUCAGAAAUCUAUGUCGCUUCUGAUAAAAGCAUCCAGUAAAAUGUACUGUAAGGCAACAGAUUUUUCGACUGGGUGCCGCAAAAUGUUUCACAUAAUAAAAGCCUUUUAAACAUGAUGUGGUCUGAUCGAAUGUCACCUUCCUUGUACUUCAGAUUUACUUUUUGUCUCUAUAAACUGACCUUUUCCUUACUUCAUUUCCUUUUAUCCUUUUCAGAUCUGACCUAAGAUGCCCACAGAACACAGAACACCCAAACGCUGAAGUGACAUGCCCACAAUUACUGGAUAAAUGCCAGAGUGCCUCUGA